GCUCUCGCCAAUAACGAAGGUCGGCCGAUGAUGGUAGGAGUGGAAGGGGGGAUGUCCUCUGACCCCACUGCCUCGACAUCCAAGGCGUUUGUAAUGAUUGAAGGUACAAACAUUAUUUUGGAGGAGCCGCCGACAAUCAAUCUCCAAUCAGAGGAGACUCUGUCGGCCUGUGACUCCAGGGCGACUAUGGAGGUGAUUUUUCUUAACAAUUCUCACAGCUAUAAUAUGAAUUUGUAGAAAAAAAAAUGCCAAGGCCUAAUUGUGUCACUGACAUAGCAGUUAUGUAAGGGAUAAUGGACAACACGGCACUUGACUAUCCAAGGUUAAUGUAGCCUACGUUGAACAUGGGGCCACCUUUGAACUUGAAACACAGACGCACUGCGCAACAGUAAGUGCACGGCUUCUUUGUGUAGCAUUGCCUACAUACGGUCCAACAAGGACGAUGAAAUAACGAAUACCCU